rnacentral:rRNA from 1 species
GAUGAACGCUGACAGAAUGCUUAACACAUGCAAGUCGAUGGGGAAGUGGUGCUUGCACCAAGGCAACCAUGGCGGACGGGUGAGUAACGCGUAAGGGACUUACCUGCAGGACUGGGAUAACAGGGGGAAACUCCUGACAAGACCGGAUAAUGUCAUGGAGCUGCAUGGCUUUAUGAUGAAAGGAGACGCCUGCGGAGAGCCUUGCGUCCUAUUAGCUAGUUGGUGAGGUAAUGGCUCACCAAGGCGAAGAUAGGUAGCCGGCCUGAGAGGGUGGACGGCCACAAGGGGACUGAGAUACGGCCCUUACUCCUACGGGAGGCAGCAGUGGGGAAUAUUGGACAAUGGGGGCAACCCUGAUCCAGCAAUUCUGUGUGCACGAAGAAGGUUUUCGGAGUGUAAAGUGCUUUCAGCAGGGAAGAAGUAAGUGACGGUACCUGCAGAAGAAGCGACGGCUAAAUACGUG